rnacentral:rRNA from 1 species
GAUGAACGCUGGCGGCGUGCCUAAUACAUGCAAGUCGAGCGAACAGACGAGGAGCUUGCUCCUCUGACGUUAGCGGCGGACGGGUGAGUAACACGUGGAUAACCUACCUAUAAGACUGGGAUAACUUCGGGAAACCGGAGCUAAUACCGGAUAAUAUAUUGAACCGCAUGGUUCAAUAGUGAAAGACGGUUUUGCUGUCACUUAUAGAUGGAUCCGCGCCGCAUUAGCUAGUUGGUAAGGUAACGGCUUACCAAGGCAACGAUGCGUAGCCGACCUGAGAGGGUGAUCGACCACACUGGAACUGAGACACGGUCCAGACUCCUACGGGAGGCAGCAGUAGGGAAUCUUCCGCAAUGGGCGAAAGCCUGACGGAGCAACGCCGCGUGAGUGAUGAAGGUCUUCGGAUCGUAAAACUCUGUUAUUAGGGAAGAACAAAUGUGUAAGUAACUAUGCACGUCUUGACGGUACCUAAUCAGAAAGCCACGGCUAACUACGU